AAAAAAAAAAGUAAAUAACUAAAAAUCUGUUAUCUGUUUUUGCAAAUAAACUUAUAUAUAUGUGUGUGUGUGUAUAUAUAUAUAUAUAUANGAACUGUUUGAAGAAAGCUUGCGGUGCCUCAAGGGAGACCGAAUUCCCCAGAGAAGAUGCAUGGAUGUGCACCUAAAUGCCACUGGAGAGAUGAUCAACUACAGACACCCUCUGCAUCCCCGCCUCAUUAUACCUCCAUACUACGAGCCUCUUUAAUACCCAGCCUUCCUAAAGAGCAGCGUGCCGAGCUUCAUUUCCUCCUGUGA
ensembl:lncRNA